rnacentral:rRNA from 1 species
GACGAACGCUGGCGGCGUGCUUAACACAUGCAAGUCGAACGGAAAGGCCCUGCUUUUGUGGGGUGCUCGAGUGGCGAACGGGUGAGUAACACGUGAGUAACCUGCCCUUGACUUUGGGAUAACUUCAGGAAACUGGGGCUAAUACCGGAUAGGAGCUCCUGCUGCAUGGGGGGGGUUGGAAAGUUUCGGCGGUUGGGGAUGGACUCGCGGCUUAUCAGCUUGUGGGGGGGGUAGGGGCUUACCAAGGCUUUGACGGGUAGCCGGCCUGAGAGGGUGACCGGCCACAUUGGGACUGAGAUACGGCCCAGACUCCUACGGGAGGCAGCAGUGGGGAAUAUUGCACAAUGGGCGGAAGCCUGAUGCAGCAACGCCGCGUGCGGGAUGACGGCCUUCGGGUUGUAAACCGCUUUCGCCUGUGACGAAGCGUGAGUGACGGUAAUGGGUAAAGAAGCACCGGCUAACUACGUG